rnacentral:rRNA from 1 species
AUACGUAGGGGGCGAGCGUUGUCCGGAAUUAUUGGGCGUAAAGGGUUCGCAGGCGGCCUUUUAAGUCAGAUGUGAAAGAUCACGGCUCAACCGUGGUAAGCAUUUGAAACUGGAAGGCUUGAGUUAAGGAGAGGAAAGUGGAAUUCCUAGUGUAGCGGUGAAAUGCGUAGAUAUUAGGAGGAAUACCAGUGGCGAAGGCGACUUUCUGGACUUAUACUGACGCUGAGGAACGAAAGCGUGGGGAGCAAACAGGAUUAGAUACCCUGGUAGUCCACGCCGUAAACGAUGAGUGCUAGGUGUCGGGUGUCAAAGCUCGGUGCCGCAGCUAACGCAUUAAGCACUCCGCCUGGGGAGUACGUGCGCAAGCAUGAA